GAGGGGUUUUAGUCAGUAGGCCCGAGGACACGUUCCUCGGGAAUCCGACACUACCCAAUCGUGCGGACGGCCUGGGUGCCUUUUGAAGAUUUUCCCUCCUC
rfam:Agrilus planipennis Contig46700, whole genome shotgun sequence.